rnacentral:rRNA from 1 species
AGCCUACGGGGGGCAGCAGUGGGGAAUAUUGCACAAUGGGCGCAAGCCUGAUGCAGCAACGCCGCGUGAGGGACGACGGCCUUCGGGUUGUAAACCUCUUUUAGCAGGGAAGAAGCGAAAGUGACGGUACCUGCAGAAAAAGCACCGGCUAACUACGUGCCAGCAGCCGCGGUAAUACGUAGGGUGCAAGCGUUAUCCGGAAUUAUUGGGCGUAAAGAGCUCGUAGGCGGUCUGUCGCGUCUGCUGGGAAAACUGGAGGCUCAACCUCCAGCCUGCAGUGGGUACGGGCAGACUAGAGUGCGGUAGGGGAGAUUGGAAUUCCUGGUGUAGCGGUGGAAUGCGCAGAUAUCAGGAGGAACACCGAUGGCGAAGGCAGAUCUCUGGGCCGUAACUGACGCUGAGGAGCGAAAGCGUGGGGAGCGAACAGGAUUAGAUACCCGUGUAGUCA